GACGAACGCUGGCGGCGUGCCUAAUACAUGCAAGUAGAACGCACAGUAUAUACCGUAGCUUGCUACACCAUAGACUGUGAGUUGCGAACGGGUGAGUAACGCGUAGGUAACCUGCCUGGUAGCGGGGGAUAACUAUUGGAAACGAUAGCUAAUACCGCAUAAUAUUGAUUAUUGCAUGAUAAUUGAUUGAAAGAUGCAACUGCAUCACUACCAGAUGGACCUGCGUUGUAUUAGCUAGUAGGUGAGGUAACGGCUCACCUAGGCGACGAUACAUAGCCGACCUGAGAGGGUGAUCGGCCACACUGGGACUGAGACACGGCCCAGACUCCUACGGGAGGCAGCAGUAGGGAAUCUUCGGCAAUGGACGAAAGUCUGACCGAGCAACGCCGCGUGAGUGAAGAAGGUUUUCGGAUCGUAAAGCUCUGUUGUAAGAGAAGAACGGGUGUGAGAGUGGAAAGUUCACACUU
rnacentral:rRNA from 1 species